rnacentral:rRNA from 1 species
AGAGUUUGAUCCUGGCUCAGGAUGAACGCUGGCGGCGUGCUUAACACAUGCAAGUCGAACGAAGCAUUUAAGACAGAUUACUUCGGUUUGAAGUCUUUUAUGACUGAGUGGCGGACGGGUGAGUAACGCGUGGGUAACCUGCCUCAUACAGGGGGAUAGCAGCUGGAAACGGCUGGUAAUACCGCAUAAGCGCACAGCAUCGCAUGAUGCAGUGUGAAAAACUCCGGUGGUAUAAGAUGGACCCGCGUUGGAUUAGCUAGUUGGUGAGGUAACGGCCCACCAAGGCAACGAUCCAUAGCCGACCUGAGAGGGUGACCGGCCACAUUGGGACUGAGACACGGCCCAAACUCCUACGGGAGGCAGCAGUGGGGAAUAUUGCACAAUGGGCGAAAGCCUGAUGCAGCGACGCCGCGUGAGCGAAGAAGUAUUUCGGUAUGUAAAGCUCUAUCAGCAGGGAAGAUAAUGACGGUACCUGACUAAGAAGCACCGGCUAAAUACGUGCCAGCAGCCGCGGUAAUACGUAUGGUGCAAGCGUUAUCCGGAUUUACUGGGUGUAAAGGGAGCGUAGACGGCACAGCAAGUCUGAAGUGAAAUCCCCGGGCUCAACCCGGGAACUGCUUUGGAAACUGUUGGGCUGGAGUGCUGGAGAGGCAAGCGGAAUUCCUAGUGUAGCGGUGAAAUGCGUAGAUAUUAGGAGGAACACCAGUGGCGAAGGCGGCUUGCUGGACAGUAACUGACGUUGAGGCUCGAAAGCGUGGGGAGCAAACAGGAUUAGAUACCCUGGUAGUCCACGCCGUAAACGAU